GAAAGCGAAAAAAAAACCCAAAGCCCCUCACCCCCGGCCCCCCAAAAACAAGCCUCCCCCCCUGCGACACCAAAACAAGCCAAUGUCGCAGCAUCAACGCCUCCUAUAUCAGCUCCUCCUUCACAGUUUCACUCUCCUUCCUUGUCUAGAUCACCACUGCUCUCCACCAGUGAUCAUGUUCAGCCUGCCAACCUGCAAGUACAAACAGAACCCCAAGGACCUCAACUCCGAAGAUCUCAACUCCAAGACUGCGAACACCUAGGUUUAUUACCCCUUUAGGUAGCCCCAUCAGAAGGGCUCUCAAACUUACUAAGCUAGACCCUCAAGAUGCUUGGCUUCCAAUCACUGAGUC
rnacentral:misc_RNA from 1 species